rnacentral:rRNA from 1 species
UGGCGAACGGGUGAGUAACACGUGGGUGAUCUGCCCUGCACUCUGGGAUAAGCCUUGGAAACUGGGUCUAAUACCGGAUAGGACCAUGCUUUAGUGUGUGUGGUGGAAAGUUUUUUCGGUGUAGGAUGAGCCCGCGGCCUAUCAGCUUGUUGGUGGGGUAAUGGCCUACCAAGGCGGCGACGGGUAGCCGGACUGAGAGGUUGGUCGGCCACAUUGGGACUGAGAUACGGCCCAG